GGAUCUAUGGCACAAUGGUAUUGCAUCUGACUCCAAAUUAGAAUGUUGUGUGUUCGAUUCACGUCAUCUA
rnacentral:tRNA from 1 species